GUCAAAUUCUGGAGAGCUGUUUCUAGAACUGGAUCAGCAUUGGGAGGAGGAAUGAGCAAGCGCUCUAGAAGAGGAAGGAGACUAUCUAACCGCCAACAAGAUUUGUCCUCUUUUGCGAUCCUGUCACUUUAAUUUAUCGCUUACUCAAACGAGUAUGAGGGGAAGAAGGAGCAGAAAAAGUUUCUUCACACGAUGAACUGGCAGAAGAUGAAGAGGAUAGAUACCUGGCAAGGCUCAG